AAUGAAUGUAUGUCUACAUGUCUACCAACUUGUACUUCUUUUAUAGUUAUAUGGUUUUAUUUCAUCUAAAAAGGGGAUUUUCUAGUUUUGGACAAUAAUUCAAAGCAGUUUUCAUGAAAUUUUGGUGAAUUGUUAAUACAAUCUCAAUGGGAGCUAUAUCUGAGUUAGGGGGUUUUAUUCAUAAAAAAGGGGGAUUUUCCAGUUUUCAGACAAUAACUCAAAAGUUCUCUGAGCAGUUUUCAUGAAUCUUUGCAGUGGUUACUGGAAUAUAUCUAUGAAAUAACCUCCCUUUGGUUUUUGUCGAGCCUGCAACUUUUGUUGCAGAAAGCUCGACAUAGGGAUAGUGAACCGGCGGUGGUGGCAGCGGCGGCGGUGGCGGCGGUGUUAGCUAACUUCUUAAAAGCUUUAUAUUUUAGAAGGUGGAAGACCUGGAUGCUUCAUACUUUGUAUAUAGAUGCCUCAUGUUACGAAGUUUUCUGUCAGUCACAUGUCCAAUGUCCUUGACCUCAUUUUCAUGGUUCAGUGACCACUUAAAAAAAAAGUUCAGAUUUUUUGUAAUGUUGAAUUCUCUCUUAUUAUAAGUAAUAGGAUAACUAUAUUUGAUAUGUGCGUACCUUGCAAGGUCCUCAUGUCUGUCAGACAGUUUUCACUUGACCUCAACCUCAUUUCAUGGAUCAGUGAACAAGGUUAAGUUUUGGUGGUCAAGUCCGUAUCUCAGAUACUAUAAGCAAUAGGGCUUGUAUAUUCGGUGUAUGGAAGGACUGUAAGGUGUACAUGUCCAACUGGCAGGUGUCAUCUGACCUUGACCUCAUUUUCAUGGUUCAGUGGUUAUAGUUAAAUUUUUGUGUUUUGGUCUGUUUUUUUCAUACUAUAUGCAAUAGGUCUACUGUAUUUGUUGUAUGGAAUGAUUGUAAGGUGUACAUGUCUAGCGGGCAGAUGUCAUGUGACCUUGACCUCAUUUUCAUGGUUCAGUGGUUAUAGUUAAAUUUUUGUGUUUUGGUCUGUUUUUUUUCAUACUAUACGCAAUAGGUCUACUAUAUUUGUUGUAUGGAAUGAUUGUAAGGGGUACAUGUCUAGCGGGCAGAUGUCAUGUGACCUUGACCUCAUUUUCAUGGUUCAGUGGUCAAAGUUAAGUUUUUGAGUUUUGGUCUAUUUAGCUAAUACUAUAUGCCAUAGGUCAACUAUAUUUGGUGUAUGGAAAUAUUUUAUGAUCUUUAUGUCAGUAGCGCAGGUUUCUUUUGACCAUGACCUCAUUUUCACG
rnacentral:lncRNA from 1 species